GCUGGCCACUGACCGCAGGACCCCGCAGCGCCGAGAACAUUAGGCCCUUCCUGUGUAGCUGAAGCCAGGCCAUCCCGGGUGACCAGGGGGCCUCAGGGCCAUGGCCUGGGGCAGGCACCUUGACUGAGCUCCCUGAAGGAAGGGCCCUCUGGCAACCUGGAUGAGGGGCCUGGGCUCUGGUCCCAGCUCUGUCUCAUGGGCGGAAGCCGGCGACCCCUCCACUGAGCUCAGACUUCUCAGCACAGGGUGCUGCCCGGAGCACCCGAGGGAGGUGGUGCGCGCGGAAGAAGCUAAGGCAGGGGCUCGCCCCCAGCGGGCCCUCUACACCGGCUUCUGCCCCCCGCCCUAGGCAGGAGGCCCGUUCCAGCUCUCCCGGCCGCCGGCCCCAGGGAGGGGAGGGGGGGCAAGUGAAGAGAGGCGGCCUGCGUGCAAAAAGAGGGAGUGGAGGAGCUCCGGUAAGGGUGCUCCAGUCCCCGGGAGGGGAUGCGGCAGAGCGGGCAGCUGGGAUUCGGUCCAAGUACUUCAGGUAGCCUCCCUGUCCAUCCGGAUGACAUAAGGAAGAUUUUAAGGCUGAAAUGCAAGGCAGUGGACACCUGUGCGCCAUCCGACUCCCGGAUUAGGCAGCAGUACCUGGCUAUCCUGGGAAAACAAGACAAGGGCCUGGAUGUGCUCCAAGGAAAUGUUCAAAGCUCAAUGCAAAUGCAAAGGCUGGUCAGCAAAGGUCUCAUUAAUGAGGUCAGAAAACCAGAGUGACUGUGGUCUGUGGCGAUCUGUACUAACAUGCAGAGAAGGCGGCUGCCAGCCUGGACUGGAGCCGGAAACAUACAUUUGCUGUGUCCAGUCCCUAAUGUCUGCAUUUCAGAGUUUGGCUGGCUUUGAGUUUGCUGCAGCAAAGAAGACAUAUUUCCAAUGUGACUGGGAAGAGAAGACCCGGGACUGGCCAGAAGCUGGAGGGAGAAAGGAAGAGCCCUGGCAAGGAUUUUAAAGAACCGACUGCAAUGAAUAGCUUUAACCUGCUACCUGGCUGUGUCCCGGUGGACUCUCUUGGGGUCUCCUCCAUUUUGCAUUUUUCAGGCUGGCUGCACUCAGUCAUUCUAAAAAGAAGGAGAAAUUGAUGGGAGUAGGGUGGGAAGAAUGAAAAAAAAAAAUCCUAGCAUCCCACAGCUGAGUUGUUUGCUCACCCAAUAAAUAUUUCUUGAGUGCCUACUGUGUGCCAGAA